rnacentral:rRNA from 1 species
AAAUUGAAGAGUUUGAUCAUGGCUCAGAUUGAACGCUGGCGGCAGGCCUAACACAUGCAAGUCGAACGGUAACAGGAAGCAGCUUGCUGCUUCGCUGACGAGUGGCGGACGGGUGAGUAAUGUCUGGGAAACUGCCUGAUGGAGGGGGAUAACUACUGGAAACGGUGGCUAAUACCGCAUAACGUCGCAGGACCAAAGAGGGGGACCUUCGGGCCUCUUGCCAUCAGAUGUGCCCAGAUGGGAUUAGCUUGUUGGUGAGGUAACGGCUCACCAAGGCGACGAUCCCUAGCUGGUCUGAGAGGAUGACCAGCCACACUGGAACUGAGACACGGUCCAGACUCCUACGGGAGGCAGCAGUGGGGAAUAUUGCACAAUGGGCGCAAGCCUGAUGCAGCCAUGCCGCGUGUAUGAAGAAGGCCUUCGGGUUGUAAAGUACUUUCAGCGGGGAGGAAGGUGUUGUGGUUAAUAACCGCAGCAAUUGACGUUACCCGCAGAAGAAGCACCGGCUAACUCCGUGCCAGCAGCCGCGGUAAUACGGAGGGUGCAAGCGUUAAUCGGAAUUACUGGGCGUAAAGCGCACGCAGGCGGUCUGUCAAGUCGGAUGUGAAAUCCCCGGGCUCAACCUGGGAACUGCAUUCGAAACUGGCAGGCUUGAGUCUUGUAGAGGGGGGUAGAAUUCCAGGUGUAGCGGUGAAAUGCGUAGAGAUCUGGAGGAAUACCGGUGGCGAAGGCGGCCCCCUGGACAAAGACUGACGCUCAGGUGCGAAAGCGUGGGGAGCAAACAGGAUUAGAUACCCUGGUAGUCCACGCCGUAAACGAUGUCUACUUGGAGGUUGUGCCCUUGAGGCGUGGCUUCCGGAGCUAACGCGUUAAGUAGACCGCCUGGGGAGUACGGCCGCAAGGUUAAAACUCAAAUGAAUUGACGGGGGCCCGCACAAGCGGUGGAGCAUGUGGUUUAAUUCGAUGCAACGCGAAGAACCUUACCUGGUCUUGACAUCCACAGAACCCUGUAGAGAUACGGGGGUGCCUUCGGGAGCUGUGAGACAGGUGCUGCAUGGCUGUCGUCAGCUCGUGUUGUGAAAUGUUGGGUUAAGUCCCGCAACGAGCGCAACCCUUAUCCUUUGUUGCCAGCGGUCCGGCCGGGAACUCAAAGGAGACUGCCAGUGAUAAACUGGAGGAAGGUGGGGAUGACGUCAAGUCAUCAUGGCCCUUACGACCAGGGCUACACACGUGCUACAAUGGCGCAUACAAAGAGAAGCGACCUCGCGAGAGCAAGCGGACCUCAUAAAGUGCGUCGUAGUCCGGACUGGAGUCUGCAACUCGACUCCAUGAAGUCGGAAUCGCUAGUAAUCGUGGAUCAGAAUGCCACGGUGAAUACGUUCCCGGGCCUUGUACACACCGCCCGUCACACCAUGGGAGUGGGUUGCAAAAGAAGUAGGUAGCUUAACCUUCGGGAGGGCGCUUACCACUUUGUGAUUCAUGACUGGGGUGAAGUCGUAACAAGGUAACCGUAGGGGAACCUGCGGUUGGAUCACCUCCUUA